AACGGCCAUACCAUGCUGAAUAUCCCGGUUCUCGUACAGUCACUGAAGUCAAUCAUCAUCGGGCCGUGGUCAGUACUUGGGAGGGUGACCACCUGGGAACACCAUGUGUCGUU